GGGCGAUUAGCUCAGUGGGAGAGCACCUGGAUCACAACCAGGGGGUCACUGGUUCAAACCCAGUAUCGCCCA
rnacentral:tRNA from 1 species